ACAGUUCUUUGGGACACUUUACGUUCUUGCAAAACAAAUCCUUUUCUAAAACGGUCGGAGAUGGUACUCUGAAGGGUGGGAAAAAGAGCCCUUGAAAAUGUCUCCUGGUGGCCGUCCCUUGGCCUCUCCCCUGGAAUGCCGGAGAAUAAGGAACAGGAGGAAAUGGCAGCCAGAUAAGGAAUCUUGCUUGCCAGGGGGAAAAAAAAGCAACUUCUUCUAGCAAAAUUUUCACAGCCUCAGCGCAGCGAUCUGCUCAGAACUCCUGGGUGCUACCAGGAGUGGAGAAUACAACCUGGUGACUCCAGCUCAUUGUGGGGAUGCACCUGUUUUAUCCCAGCAUGUGGGAGGCAGAAGCAGGAGGAUCUCUGUGAGUUCGAGCCCAGCCAGGGCUACAGGCGAAGGCACUUGCCCUCUGCAAAGGCCUGACCAUUAACUUUUGAUCCCCAGAACCCAUACAAAGGUGGAAAGCAAGAACUGAGUCCACAUUGCCGGCUGAUCUCCCAACGUGUGCAUGUACCCCACCGCUUACAUACUCAAUACUAAAAUAAUUACAUUGUAAUUUAACUCUA